rnacentral:rRNA from 1 species
CAAUAGCGUAUAUUAAAGUUGUUGCAGUUAAAAAGCUCGUAGUUGGAUUUCGGGAUGGCCCGGCCGGUCUGCCGCAAGGUAUGUUACUGGCCGAGCUGUUCUUCUUCGCAAGGACUGUGUGUGCUCUUAACUGAGUGUGCUCAGGAUCUGUGACGUUUACUUUGAAAAAAUUAGAGUGUUCAAAGCAAGCCAGCGCUUGAAUACAUAAGCAUGGAAUAAUGGAAUAGGACUUUGGUUCUAUUUUGUUGGUUUCUGGAACCUUAGUAAUGAUUAAGAGAGACAGUUGGGGGCAUUCGUAUUUCGUUGUCAGAGGUGAAAUUCUUGGAUUUACGAAAGACGAACUACUGCGAAAGCAUUUGCCAAGAAUGUUUUCAUUAA